UUCAGUUGAGCUUUUUCACCCAACCAAACUGUCCAGUGAUAGGAAAUGGAGCUUACAAGUCCUCAAUCUUAACACCAAGGGAUGUUCUGUCCCCAUUUCUUAAUUUCGAAUGAUGCUUCUGUCUUUCUGUCAUCAUCCUCUAACAGAGGGCAUCUUUGUGUCCGAAAAAGGAAGCCAUAUAUUUGGACCCACCAGCGAAAGACAAUUAAGCUCCCAAAGAACUUUCCACAAGGGUCUGUGCUGGUUGGAGCGAUCUCAUAUGGAGAACUAUCAUCCGUGCCAACUCUGUGGCAGAACGUUUAGAAGAGGAGGAAAUCAUAUUCUAGAGAACAACGCCGCAAUACUACGAUGAGUACUUUAAAGCUUUAUCUUUUUCAUCUCGAUUAAUGUCUCGUUUUAGGCAUUGAAACAACAUGAUCCGAGAAGAUGCUGUUCCAACCAAGAAGAAGCUCUAUGAACUAAAGCACUCUUUGCUCGAAGAGAUUGGGUGGGGACACCUGGUAUCAUAGGAGCGGACACGAAUGCACGUUCGGUUCCUGCCAAGCUUGCCAUUGUUUUAGGAUAAAGUCCUUGAGGAUGAUUCGCUUCAAGUAAUAAAAUGUCCAUUCAUCUCUCUCUCUCUCUCUCGAAACCUAAUAUGGUAUCAGAGUCUAGGGAUCACGCUCCAUCACCUUUUCUUCUUGUUGGCUGAGUGAUUCGGCCAAAUCACUACAUCGAUCAUGUCAAGGCUCUGAUACCAUCUAAAGACAAUACUUAUGCAAGGAAUUGUUUAUAUUCACUCUUAUUGAAUCAAUGUACAAGGCUGAUGGUUAUAUAAGAGAGCAACAGAGAAAAAGGAAA